GAGGCUUCCGUUUGGAACCAAGCCAGUGCUCAAUGCUGUGUUCCUGGGGCUUCCCCACUGGACCACCCCCACGCCCUGUGGAUGGAUGGGUGUCUCAGGGAGCGACUUCACGUUCCAGCAGAGAGGACAAGAAUAGGAUUUGACUUCAAAAGUGUCAAUAAAUGAAC
rnacentral:lncRNA from 14 species